rnacentral:rRNA from 1 species
UACAGAGGGGGGCAAGCGUUGUUCGGAAUUACUGGGCGUAAAGGGCGCGUAGGCGGCCUGUUAAGUCGAACGUGAAAUCCCUGGGCUCAAACCCCAGGAACUGCGUCCGAUACUGGCAGGCUUGAAUCCGGGAGAGGGAUGUGGAAUUCCAGGUGUAGCGGUGAAAUGCGUAGAUAUCAGGAGGAACACCUGUGGCGAAAGCGGCUCACUGGACCACAACUGACGCUGAGGCGCGAAAGCUAGGGGAGCAAACAGG